rnacentral:rRNA from 1 species
UACGUAGGGGGCAAGCGUUGUCCGGAUUUACUGGGCGUAAAGCGCGCGUAGGCGGAAGCUCAAGUCUGGCCUGAAAGCCCCCGGCUCAACCGGGGAGUGGGGCUGGAAACUGGGUUUCUUGAGGGCGAUAGAGGAGUGUGGAAUUCCUGGUGUAGCGGUGAAAUGCGUAGAGAUCAGGAGGAACACCCGUGGCGAAGGCGGCAUCCUGGCCAUGUCCUGACGCUCAGGGGCGAAAGCGUGGGGAGCAAACCGG